AUUAACAGAAGAGCUCGAAGUUACAAGGGUCAUAGUCUGUGGUGAAGUUGGAUUCCCAUGCUUGAGGAUAUUUAUUUUUGAUAGUCAGUGUGCUGUGAUGAAUUUGACCUUUGCGGCUGGAGCCAUGCCCUUGGUAGAUGACCUCUUGAUAGUAUUUAACGCAGAAGAAACUGGGUCUCCCGGUACCAGCGGUGAUUUUGAUCUCGGAAUAGAAAAUCUCCUCAGCCUCGUUAAAAUCAGAUGUGUAGUAUGGGGAGACGAGGACGACAGAGUUGAGGCUGCAGAAGCUGCCAUUCGGGAAGCAGCCAACGCACAUCCCAACCGCCCUACUCUACGCUUGGACUGAUAAUGCGUUGCCGGAAUCAAGGGUGCAACGCCAAAGGUUCAUCAUCACUGCAUUUCUAAGAUCGAAACAUUCAUCAUUCUCUGCGAGGAUGGAUCUGCCUCCCUGCACCCUGCUGGGCCGAGCAGAAGAUGUCGUCGAUGUUGUCGUGUCGUGGGAGAACGACACCAAGCACAAGGCGGCCCUUGACGUGAAGCUCAGAACACAAGAGGUCUGGACUCCGAGUCUCGACCUUGCCUAGUUGCCUUCCUGGCGGACCCUUUAGUUGCAAAGUUCAGAUUCAGAGUAUGACGUCAGGAUAUGCUCAUGCUCACCUCUUGCGUGACAGAAUCAUGGUAAAAUAUUGGAAGCUGUACACAUAAUAAACAUGAAAACAAGCACAUGUAACUUGUUAUA